rnacentral:rRNA from 1 species
UACGUAGAGGGCAAGCGUUGUCCGGAUUUAUUGGGCGUAAAGAGCGUGUAGGCGGCCAUGCAGGUCCGUUGUGAAAACUCGAGGCUCAACCUCGAGACGCCGGUGGAAACCGUGUGGCUAGAGUCCGGAAGAGGAGAGUGGAAUUCCUGGUGUAGCGGUGAAAUGCGCAGAUAUCAGGAAGAACACCCGUGGCGAAGGCGGCUCUCUGGGACGUGACUGACGCUGAGACGCGAAAGCGUGGGGAGCAAACAGG